rnacentral:lncRNA from 1 species
GUCUGCUACCUUCAUCGUCUUCCUCCCCUAUUUUUCUCUUUGCAAGCACCACUCCACCUAAACCAAAGGAUCAGUACCACUAUGAUAGACUACCCGGAUAAGAAUAAUCUUAGAAGCUGGAGGUGUCGAUGUUGCUGAAGAGCCUUGGAGAGUCAGUUACCAGAGUUGUGAGUCAUCAAAGCUAGAAGCAUGUGGUGGAGACCUAGAACCAGGAGGUGGCAGUCCUUAUCAAAACAUAGAGGAAGCCGAUAGUGUUGGCAUCCAAAGCUACUCUCUGUUGUGCUUAUCUAGAAUUAAAAUCUGACCUCUUUGCCAUACACUAUAAAUAUCCAGGUCUGUUCUAUUUUCUUUAUUGCGUUCCCCUAUAUUUGUUUACAAAAGAAGGAGUGAGGGAAGGAGAAAUUUUGAGACUAAGGAGGAACCUGAGAAGUAUAAACUAAUUUCCAAAACAAGGUAGGGGGAUCUGGGGAAACCUCUAUUUAAUUUGUUUGGUUGCUGUGUUGCUAUAUGUGAUUUUAAUUAUGAAAUUUGAUUGAUGCAUGUUCAUGAAGGUUGAGGCAUGGUUUUGAUAGAAUAGAAUGGGAAUGAAAUAUGUGGGAGUAUUCUUUUGUGUAGUUGAGCUUAAUCCGUAAGGACCAAAUUUCAGGUGGGCUAAUAGAGCUGUACGAUUUUGGUGAUCGAGAUUAAGUAAGAUGACUAGCAAAAAGGGAAUCAUGGUUUGGGUUGUGGGGUUAAUUCAUAUGUUAUUUCAUCUAGAGUCACCUCAAAAAGGUAAAUUACAUGGUAUGGGACAUGUAGACUCUUUGUGUCUUAGCAUGUGAGUUAACAGGUAAUAGAUGAAAAUAGCAUUGCAUACGUCCAUGUAUUACUGUUUUGAUUGUUACUGGUUUGUGUUGUUUAUUUAAAGAGGUUUAGCCUCCUACUGAGUUGUUGAUGCUCACCCCUAUCAAAUAUUGCAGGUACUGAACAUGAAGUUUAAUUUUCCCUUUUGAAGAGCUUGUGAUUAAUAUGAAGGAAGUGUGAGACUUGUUUUG